UCCGCGGUAGCUCAAUGGUAGAGCAGCUGGCUGUUAACCAGUUGGUUGCAGGUUCGAGUCCUGCCCGCGGAG
rnacentral:tRNA from 1 species